rnacentral:lncRNA from 1 species
UAUUGAUUUCUAACAAAUUGAUUAUUAGAUUACAUGAUAUCAGAGACAAUUCUAUGAGUUGCUUGUCAGAUCGUUAGCGCUAAUCAUUAAUCCCCCAAAACUCGAUUCGUUAAAAAUAUACAAUCAAUUCACCUAAAGAGUACAGACACAACGCCCAAAAGUCUCGAUUGCGACUCGGCCCAAUUAGUCUCAUGCCACUUUGAUUAUUGCUCGGCUUAAUUCAGUCUCCCGCCACAAGACAGGAAGCAAGAUGCUGGCCCCUUCAAGCCAACAUUAUCAUUAUUUUGUGAGGUCGAUCUCUGACAUCUA